AUCCAGCUAACAUGUCCCGAAUAGGACGAAAUGCGCAUCAAACUGGAU
rnacentral:hammerhead_ribozyme from 1 species